rnacentral:rRNA from 1 species
GUCGAGCGAACAGACGAGGAGCUUACUCCUCUGACGUUAGCGGCGGACGGGUGAGUAACACGUGGAUAACCUACCUAUAAGACUGGGAUAACUUCGGGAAACCGGAGCUAAUACCGGAUAACAUGUUGAACCGCAUGGUUCAACAGUGAAAGACGGUCUUGCUGUCACUUAUAGAUGGAUCCGCGUCGCAUUAGCUAGUUGGUAAGGUAACGGCUUACCAAGGCAACGAUGCGUAGCCGACCUGAGAGGGUGAUCGGCCACACUGGAACUGAGACACGGUCCAGACUCCUACGGGAGGCAGCAGUAGGGAAUCUUCCGCAAUGGGCGAAAGCCUGACGGAGCAACGCCGCGUGAGUGAAGAAGGUCUUCGGAUCGUAAAACUCUGUUAUUAGGGAAGAACAAAUGUGUAAGUAACUAUGCACGUCUUGACGGUACCUAAUUAGAAAGCCACGGCUAACUACGUGCCAGCAGCCGCGGUAAUACGUAGGUGGCAAGCGUUAUCCGGAAUUAUUGGGCGUAAAGCGCGCGUAGGCGGUUUUUUAAGUCUGAUGUGAAAGCCCACGGCUCAACCGUGGAGGGUCAUUGGAAACUGGAAAACUUGAGUGCAGAAGAGGAAAGUGGAAUUCCAUGUGUAGCGGUGAAAUGCGCAGAGAUAUGGAGGAACACCAGUGGCGAAGGCGACUUUCUGGUCUGUAACUGACGCUG